CCCACAUCCAUAUCUCAGCCCCCCAGCACAAGGUGCCACCUGCAACAAGCCCAGAGCAGCACCCUGAUCCCAGCUUGACUGAGUGAGGCAUUCAGGGCAGCCAGUUCUCUGAAGCCACAAGC